GAUGAACGCUGACAGAAUGCUUAACACAUGCAAGUCUUUGGCCAAGCUGUGCUUGCACCGCCUAGCCAAGGCGGACGGGUGAGUAACGCGUAAGGAACUUGCCCUGCAGUCAGGGAUAACAGACGGAAACGACUGAUAAGACCUGGUAAAGUCAGGCGGACUCAUGUCCAGCCUGAUGAAAAGAGAUGCUGCAGGAGAGCCUUGCGUCCUAUUAGCUUGUUGGUGGGGUAACGGCCCACCAAGGCGAUGAUAGGUAGCCGUCCUGAGAGGGUGGACGGCCACAAGGGGACUGAGAGACGGACCUUACUCCUACGGGAGGCAGCAGUGGGGAAUAUUGGACAAUGGGGGCAACGCUGAUCCAGCAAUUCGGUGGGCACGAUGAAGGUUUUGGGAUUGUAAAGUGCUGUCAGCAGGGAAGAAAAAAUGACGGUACCUGCAGAAGAAGCGACGGCUAAAUACGUG
rnacentral:rRNA from 1 species